AACCUGGUUGAUCCUGCCAGUAGUCAUAUGCUUGUCUCAAAGAUUAAGCCAUGCAUGUCUAAAUAUAAAGAACUUUAUACUAUGAAACUGCGUACAGCUCAUUAUAUCAGUGAUUAUUUAUUUGAUGGUACCUUACUACAUGGAUAACCGUAGUAACCUAGAGCUAAUACAUGCAUAAAAUCCUGACUCUCGAGAAAGGAUGUAUUUAUUAGAUAAAGAAUCAAUACCGGCUCUGUCGGUUUCAUUGAUGAAUCAUAAUAACUGAUCGAAUCGCAUGCUUCGGCGGCGAUAGUUCAUUCAAAUUUCUGCCCUAUCAAGCUUUCGACGGUAGUGUAGUGGACUACCG
rnacentral:rRNA from 1 species